AGGGUGACAGCCCCGUACACAAAAAUGCACAUGCUGUGAGCUCGAUGAGUAGGGCGGGACACGUGGUAUCCUGUCUGAAUAUGGGGGGACCAUCCUCCAAGGCUAAAUACUCCUGACUGACCGAUAGUGAACCAGUACCGUGAGGGAAAGGCGAAAAGAACCCCGGCGAGGGGAGUGAAAAAGAACCUGAAACCGUGUACGUACAAGCAGUGGGAGCACAGAGCAAUCUGUGUGACUGCGUACCUUUUGUAUAAUGGGUCAGCGACUUAUAUUCUGUAGCAAGGUUAACCGAAUAGGGGAGCCGAAGGGAAACCGAGUCUUAACCGGGCGUUAAGUUGCAGGGUAUAGACCCGAAACCCGGUGAUCUAGCCAUGGGCAGGUUGAAGGUUGGGUAACACUAACUGGAGGACCGAACCGACUAAUGUUGAAAAAUUAGCGGAUGACUUGUGGCUGGGGGUGAAAGGCCAAUCAAACCGGGAGAUAGCUGGUUCUCCCCGAAAGCUAUUUAGGUAGCGCCUCGUGAAUUCAUCUCCGGGGGUAGAGCACUGUUUCGGCAAGGGGGUCAUCCCGACUUACCAACCCGAUGCAAACUGCGAAUACCGGAGAAUGUUAUCACGGGAGACACACGGCGGGUGCUAACGUCCGUCGUGAAGAGGGAAACAACCCAGACCGCCAGCUAAGGUCCCAAAGUCAUGGUUAAGUGGGAAACGAUGUGGGAAGGCCCAGACAGCCAGGAUGUUGGCUUAGAAGCAGCCAUCAUUUAAAGAAAGCGUAAUAGCUCACUGGUCGAGUCGGCCUGCGCGGAAGAUGUAACGGGGCUAAACCAUGCACCGAAGCUGCGGCAGCGACACUGUGUGUUGUUGGGUAGGGGAGCGUUCUGUAAGCCUGUGAAGGUGUGCUGUGAGGCAUGCUGGAGGUAUCAGAAGUGCGAAUGCUGACAUAAGUAACGAUAAAGCGGGUGAAAAGCCCGCUCGCCGGAAGACCAAGGGUUCCUGUCCAACGUUAAUCGGGGCAGGGUGAGUCGACCCCUAAGGCGAGGCCGAAAGGCGUAGUCGAUGGGAAACAGGUUAAUAUUCCUGUACUUGGUGUUACUGCGAAGGGGGGACGGAGAAGGCUAUGUUGGCCGGGCGACGGUUGUCCCGGUUUAAGCGUGUAGGCUGGUUUUCCAGGCAAAUCCGGAAAAUCAAGGCUGAGGCGUGAUGACGAGGCACUACGGUGCUGAAGCAACAAAUGCCCUGCUUCCAGGAAAAGCCUCUAAGCAUCAGGUAACAUCAAAUCGUACCCCAAACCGACACAGGUGGUCAGGUAGAGAAUACCAAGGCGCUUGAGAGAACUCGGGUGAAGGAACUAGGCAAAAUGGUGCCGUAACUUCGGGAGAAGGCACGCUGAUAUGUAGGUGAAGUCCCUCGCGGAUGGAGCUGAAAUCAGUCGAAGAUACCAGCUGGCUGCAACUGUUUAUUAAAAACACAGCACUGUGCAAACACGAAAGUGGACGUAUACGGUGUGACGCCUGCCCGGUGCCGGAAGGUUAAUUGAUGGGGUCAGCGCAAGCGAAGCUCUUGAUCGAAGCCCCGGUAAACGGCGGCCGUAACUAUAACGGUCCUAAGGUAGCGAAAUUCCUUGUCGGGUAAGUUCCGACCUGCACGAAUGGCGUAAUGAUGGCCAGGCUGUCUCCACCCGAGACUCAGUGAAAUUGAACUCGCUGUGAAGAUGCAGUGUACCCGCGGCAAGACGGAAAGACCCCGUGAACCUUUACUAUAGCUUGACACUGAACAUUGAGCCUUGAUGUGUAGGAUAGGUGGGAGGCUUUGAAGUGUGGACGCCAGUCUGCAUGGAGCCGACCUUGAAAUACCACCCUUUAAUGUUUGAUGUUCUAACGUGGACCCGUGAUCCGGGUUGCGGACAGUGUCUGGUGGGUAGUUUGACUGGGGCGGUCUCCUCCUAAAGAGUAACGGAGGAGCACGAAGGUUGGCUAAUCCUGGUCGGACAUCAGGAGGUUAGUGCAAUGGCAUAAGCCAGCUUGACUGCGAGCGUGACGGCGCGAGCAGGUGCGAAAGCAGGUCAUAGUGAUCCGGUGGUUCUGAAUGGAAGGGCCAUCGCUCAACGGAUAAAAGGUACUCCGGGGAUAACAGGCUGAUACCGCCCAAGAGUUCAUAUCGACGGCGGUGUUUGGCACCUCGAUGUCGGCUCAUCACAUCCUGGGGCUGAAGUAGGUCCCAAGGGUAUGGCUGUUCGCCAUUUAAAGUGGUACGCGAGCUGGGUUUAGAACGUCGUGAGACAGUUCGGUCCCUAUCUGCCGUGGGCGCUGGAGAACUGAGGGGGGCUGCUCCUAGUACGAGAGGACCGGAGUGGACGCAUCACUGGUGUUCGGGUUGUCAUGCCAAUGGCACUGCCCGGUAGCUAAAUGCGGAAGAGAUAAGUGCUGAAAGCAUCUAAGCACGAAACUUGCCCCGAGAUGAGUUCUCCCUGACCCUUUAAGGGUCCUGAAGGAACGUUGAAGACGACGACGUUGAUAGGCCGGGUGUGUAAGCGCAGCGAUGCGUUGAGCUAACCGGUACUAAUGAACCGUGAGGCUUAACCUUACAACGCCGAAGGUGUUU
rnacentral:rRNA from 1 species